UCACAAAUCAAAGAAGAAGAAGCUGAUCAAUUGACCUAGCUUGUAUGAAAUCAUUGAAAUGCAUUUUUGACUCCUGGGGGAGUUUGGAGAACAGAAAAAUGAACAGGAUUCUGCCACUUGAUCCUUCUGUCGUAAAUUCCGCUGCAUCACACGGACCAAUCAGUUUGGGAUUGUGGAACUAUCUAAUCUGAGAUGGAGUGGUCGUGCCAGCAGAGGAGCAUGGAAACGCAGCGUCUGAGGAUGUAGAACCGUGUCUUCUGUUGCUUUGCCAUCAUCAAGCAUCGUUUUCCGAACCCGAUUUUCCGGUGGCUCUUGCGGCGGCGAGUUUGGUCUGUUUGCGGUUGUUGGAAGUGAGAAGUUGUCAUGGGGAGUCGGUGACGGCGGAGAUCGGUGGUGGGUAACAGAACAAGAUAGAUUAGUGCUGAAGGAAUAUGGAUGGUGUGGUGGUGGUUUAUAUAGUUUAUAGGAUCAUCCUCGAGAGAGAAAUGAGUGCAGACAUAUCCGGUCCCACAUAUUCAGAUUGUUGAAGUCAUUCAUGCUCA
rnacentral:sRNA from 1 species